UACGAAGGGGGCUAGCGUUGUUCGGAAUUACUGGGCGUAAAGGGUUUGUAGGUGGCUUGCUAAGUCAGACGUGAAAUCCCUCAGCUUAACUGGGGAACUGCGUCUGAGACUGGCGAGCUUGAGUGCAGGAGAGGAACGCGGAAUUCCAGGUGUAGCGGUGAAAUGCGUAGAUAUCUGGAGGAACACCGGUGGCGAAGGCGGCGUUCUGGACUGCAACUGACACUGUAAAACGAAAGCCAGGGGAGCAAACGGG
rnacentral:rRNA from 1 species